rnacentral:rRNA from 1 species
CCUACGGGCGGCAGCAGUGGGGAAUAUUGGACAAUGGGGGCAACCCUGAUCCAGCCAUGCCGCGUGUGUGAAGAAGGCCCUCGGGUUGUAAAGCACUUUCAGUGAGGAAGAACGCCUGGUGGUUAAUACCCAUCAGGAAAGACAUCACUCACAGAAGAAGCACCGGCUAACUCCGUGCCAGCAGCCGCGGUAAUACGGAGGGUGCGAGCGUUAAUCGGAAUUACUGGGCGUAAAGCGCGCGUAGGUGGCUUGAUAAGCCGGUUGUGAAAGCCCCGGGCUCAACCUGGGAACGGCAUCCGGAACUGUCAAGCUAGAGUGCAGGAGAGGAAGGUAGAAUUCCCGGUGUAGCGGUGAAAUGCGUAGAGAUCGGGAGGAAUACCAGUGGCGAAGGCGGCCUUCCGGACUGACACUGACACUGAGGUGCGAAAGCGUGGGUAGCAAACAGGAUUAGAUACCCCAGUAGUC